CGCCCAUUCGUCUAUCGGCUAGGAUAUUUGCUUUUCACGCAAGAGGGCAGGGUUCGAUUCCCUGAUGGGCAA
rfam:Sphaeroforma arctica JP610 cont1.15313, whole genome shotgun sequence.